AGAGUUUGAUCCUGGCUCAGAAUCAACGCUGGCGGCGUGCCUCAGACAUGCAAGUCGAACGCGAAAGCUCCCUUCGGGGAGCGAGUAGAGUGGCGCACGGGUGAGUAACACGUAGGUAAUCUACCUUUGGAUGGGGAAUAACACCGGGAAAUCGGUGCUAAUACCGCAUAAUGCAGCGGCACCUAAUGGUGACAGUUGUUAAAGCGGGGGAUCGCAAGACCUCGCGUCUAAAGAGGAGCCUGCGGCGGAUUAGCUUGUUGGUAAGGUAACGGCUUACCAAGGCGAUGAUCCGUAGCCGGCCUGAGAGGGCGGUCGGCCACACUGACACUGAAAUACGGGUCAGACUCCUACGGGAGGCAGCAGUCGGGAAUUUUGGGCAAUGGGCGAAAGCCUGACCCAGCAACGCCGCGUGAAGGAUGAAAUCCCUCGGGAUGUAAACUUCGCAAGAACGGGAAGAAUAAGUUGGUGUGAACAUCACCAGCGAUGACGGUACCGUUUGAAGUUCCGU
rnacentral:rRNA from 1 species